rnacentral:rRNA from 1 species
UACGAAGGGGGCGAGCGUUGUUCGGAUUUACUGGGCGUAAAGGGCGCGUAGGCGGCCCUCUUUGUCUGUGUGAAAGCCCCGGGCUCAACCUGGGAAUUGCGCGCGAAACGGGGGGACUUGAGUUCGGGAGAGGAGCGUGGAAUUCCCAGUGUAGAGGUGAAAUUCGUAGAUAUUGGGAAGAACACCGGUGGCGAAGGCGGCGCUCUGGACCGAGACUGACGCUGAGGCGCGAAAGCGUGGGGAGCAAACAGG